rnacentral:misc_RNA from 1 species
AUGAGUGGUGUUUGGUUUGUUACGGGUGGUUGGAUGUCUGCUUGAGCAGCAACUUCCACGCGUGCAUACCUCUUCARUAGUGCUACAAGGCUUAGUUUGCCUUGAGCAUCCGGUGGGUUUCCUGUGCUGCAUACCUAAUCAAUGGCAUCGUUUGGUUAUAUCAAAGUCCCUCUUCGUGAUAUGUCCCUUGGGGCAUUAAACGAACCUUGAAGCGCUCUCCAUGGUCCAUACUGUUGUUGCCUAUGCAACGAUGGCAUGGCCYUUGGAGCAUCGUUUGGUUUCUUGGAUACGGAACGCGAUGUGGGCUGUAGGGUCUUUAUCGAUUCURUUUUUGCCCUCAUUGAGUGUUCUCGCUUUUCUAAACGACCGUCUGUCAUGCAUCGGCAUGUUCGUGCAUGGUGGGCUGUGUCGAAGAGGAAUGCUACCUGGUUGAUCCUGCCAGUAGUCAUAUGCUUGUCUCAAAGAUUAAGCCAUG